CAGAGCAAAGAAAAUUAUCUCUAGUGAUGCUCUUUAAGUCACUGUGCUCCCUCUGUUACUAAGUUUGCUGAUGCUCAAUAUGGUACACACACUGUCUGUAUCAAUAAAAUCGCACUUCUUUUAGCUAUGUCCCAACCACGGUCAGUCCAUUCCACUGAAUACCAUCCCUGCGUCACAGUACCAUCGUGGUCAGUGCAACGCUUCACAACACCAGUAAUCAGCGAUCAGGAUCUGAUCCUGCGAGGAGUUUGUUCCUGCCUGUAACGAGUUUGUACCUCUCCCCAUGAUCGCCUGGCUUCCUCUGGCUACUCCGGUUUCCUCCCGCCGUCUGAGGGUUAGGGUUACUAACGGUAUGCUGGCGCGGGAAGCGUGGUGACACUUGCGGGCUGCCCUCGGCACAUCCUCAGACUGUGCUGGUUGUUGAUGCGGACCAACACGGUCCGAAGCUGUUGGUUGUUUCAUGUACAGAACUGUGCAAAAGUCUUGGGCUCAGGGUGCCUGAGAUUUUUGCAAAAUGCUGCAGUAAGUUUAUGUAUUGCACUGUACUGCUGCAAAACAAAAGAACAAAUUUCAUGACAUUUGUGAGUGAUGAUAAACCGGAUUCCGAUCUGGGUCUCUAAUGUGGACUGAGAGUGGGAAGGGGGCAGGGAGAGGGAAUCAUGGUUGGGAAAAGGGGAAGGCCUCCAGUUCAGACUACAUUCUCAUGAGUUGUUUCUAUACCUUUUCUAGUUUAAUUACCAUAAGACCAUAAGAUAUUGCAGCAGAAUAAGGCCAUUUGGCCCAUCAAGGCCAAUCCAUUUUUCAUCUUCACCCCAAAAUCCUGCCUUCUCCCCGAACCCGUUCAUGCCCUGACCAAUCAAGAACCUAUCAAUCUGCCUUAAACACACAUAAAGACUUGGCCUCCACAGCUGCCUGUGGCAACAAAUUCCAUAGAUUCACCACUCUCUGGCUAAAGAAAUUCUUUCUCAUCUUCGUUUUAAAGGGAUGCCCAUCUAUUCUGAGGCUGUGUCCUCUGGUCAAAAUCAAAUCAAAUUUAAUUGUCAUUCAACCCAUCCAUGGGCACAGCUGAAUGAGACAGCGUUCCUCUGGGGCUGAGGUGCAAUAACAUACACGCGCAUUCAAAAUAAUAAGAAAGGUGAAAAAAAAACAUAAUAACGUGAGAACAAAUUUUUAAUCCAGGUCCCUCAGUGACAAGUCCCGCAAAUUGAUGGUUCCAGCCAUCCUGCCUGUAAUUCCAGUGAUCCAACACUGGAGGGCAGCACUGAUGUGCGAGGCCAACCCGACCAUGCCCGGAUGCCACGCUAUAAUCCAACCCCAAUGACUGAGGCCUCAUCCUAGCUACAACUGAGGCGACACUGCUGUCUCAUUGCCUGCCCCACUCCCAAACAAGUCUCUCCCACCAUAGGAAGCGUUCUCUCCACAUUUACUCUGUCAAGACCUUUCACCAGUCGAUAGGUUUCAAUUAGGUCCCACCUCAUUCUUCUUAAUUCUAUUGAGUACAAACUCAGGGCCAUCAAACUCUCUUCAUGUGACAAUCUGUUCAAUCCAGGAAUAAUUUUUGUGAACAGUUUCACCACAUCCUUUCUAAGACAAGGGGCCCAGAACUGCUCACAAUACUCCAAGUGAGGCCCCACCGGUGCCUUAUAAAGUCUCAACAUCCUUGCUUUCAUGUCCUAGUCCCCUUUAAAUGAAUGCUAACCUUGCACUUGCCUUCCUCACCACAGAUUCAACCUGCAAAUUAACCUUUAGGGAAUCUUGCAUAGGAACUCCCAAGUCACUUUGCAACUCAAGAGUUUUGAAUUUUCUCUCCAUUUAGGAAAUAGUCUACCCUUUCAUUUCAUCUACAAAAGUGCAUGACCAUAUAAUUCCCGACACUGUAUUCCACCUGGCAAUUCUUUUCCCAUUCUCCUAAUCUGUCCAAGUCCUUCUGUAGCCUCUCUACUUCCUCAAAACUAUCUACCUAUUUUCAUAUCAUCUGCAAAAUUUGCAACAAAGUCAUCUAUUCUGUCAUCCAAAUUAUUGACAUAUAAUGUAAAAGAAUCCCAACAGAUUUGCCAGGCAAGAUUUUCCCUUGAGCAAACCAUGCUGACUUUGGCCUAUUUUAUCAUGUGCCUCCAAGUACCCCGAAACCACAUGCUUAACAAUCGACACCAACAUCUUCUCAAUCACUGAGACCAGACUAACUGACCUAUAACUUCCUUUCUUCUGUCUCUCUCCCUCCUUGAAAAGUGGAGUGACAUUUACAAUCUUCCAGUCUUCUGAACUAUUCCAGGAUAUAAUGCCUGUACAAUCUCUUCAGCCACCUCUUUCAGAACCCUGGGGUGUACACCACCUGGUCCAGGUGACUUAACUACCUUCAGACCUUUCGAUUUCCCAAGAACCUUCUCUCUAGUUAUGGAAACUUCACACACUUCAUGAUCCCUGACACCUGGAACUUCCACCACACUGAUAGUGUCUUCCACAGUGAAGACAGUCGCAAAAUAUUUAUUCAAAUCUUCCACUAUUUCUUUGUGCCCCAUUACUACCACUCCAGCAUCAUUUUCCUGUGGUCCGAUAUCCACUCCUGCCUCUCUUUUACACGAUGUAUCUGAAGAAACUUCUGGCAUCUUCAUCCUUUCUGUAGCAGGGAUAUAGCAUCCUUCCAAUUGCAAAAUGGUCAGAUCUGCACAAACCACAGCAGUGUGGUCUAAUCAACAAGUUCAUCGUGAAUAUGCAAGAUUGGAACAUGCAAAUUAAUCACAAAUAUGCAAAUACACUUUCAGCACCCAACUGUAAGUCACUAUAUUCUGACAUGUAGUGGUUUUAGCAGGUGCCCCUGGGACCGUUCUCUAAACACUUCCUUACAGACAGAUAAAAAUAUUGGCCGUUUCUACACUCUGCUAAUGAUCUAACCCUGCUUGCUUAACCCCAUUUAUUGGUGGCUGGCAGAGUAGUGUAGCAGUUAGUGCAACCGCUUUACAACACCAGCGAUCACCAAUAAGGGUUAGAUUCCCGGAUGGUGCGCAAGGGACCGCGUGGGUUUCCUCCAACAUAGCAAAGACGUACAGUUAGGGUUAGUGUGUCGAGGGUGUGGUGUGUUGGUGCUGGAGACCUGGCGACACUUGUGGGCUGCCCCCACAACAAUCUGCAGACUGUGCUGGUCAUUGAUGCAAAUGAUGCAUUUCACUGUAAGUUUUAUGUACACGUGAUUAAAUAAAGAUAAUCUUUAAUAUAUCUCUUCACUCUCAGAUACAGUUUCAGAUGUACUUAUCAUGUGUACGUGAUAACAUACAUUGAAAAGUGUUUCUGCAUCAGUGAGUUGGACUACGCCCUAUCAGUGCGCGGAGAAUUCCAUUCAGAAUUCACUCAGGCAUGCAGUCUGAAGCUGAAACAAAAGUGUCAUUUCACCUACUAUCCUCAGCCACAAGAUACUGUCUAUGCCCUCUGUUACUUCUGACACCUUCAGUGCAGCCAACUGUUCCAUUACCUUACAGAACAGUCGAGCACAGGGAUAGGCCCUUCUGUCACCAGGGUUAAGACUUACACGGUGAAUAAUACUUUGAUGUGUGCCAAAGAACAAAAGAACCUGUAAAUACAGAUCCAUAAUUCCUUGAAAGCGGCAACACAGACAGAUGGGUUUGUGAAUGCCAUGGUAGCAGUGCAGUUAGCGCGAUACCAUCAUAGCUCAGAGUGUUCCGGAGUUCAGAGUUUAAUUCCGCCUCCAUUUAAUUCUCACUGUGACCACGUGGGUUUCCUCCUGGUGCUCUGGUGUCAUCCCACAGUCCAGAGGUGGCUGGUAGGGUCAUUGUAUAUUGUCCUGUGAUCAGGCUAGUGUUAAAUAGUUGGGUAGCUGGGCGGUCACUCUAAAGUUCAAAGUACGUUUAUUAUCAAAGUGUGUAUACUAUAUACAAGUUUAAUAUUUGUCUCCUUACAGGCAGCCACAAAACAAAGAAACCCAAUAAAAACCCCUUAGAAAAAAGACAGACAUCCAAUGUGCAAUAAAAUGAACAAAUCAUACGAACGAUAAAAAGUAAACAAAUAACAUUCAGAACUAAAAUUCAGGAAAGUAGAUCAGCCACAGAGCCAGUUCAUUGCUGCAGCCACUGCCUCAUUUCAGCUUACAGACGAGUAAACCUCAGGGUGCAAUGAGCUAACACCGGCCCACCCCUCACCACCGGUCCCGACACCCUGACCUCUUCAAUCAAAUAAAAAGGACUUUUGGCACGUUGGCCUUCAUAAAUCAUGACAUUGAGUAUAGGAGUUGGGAUGCUACGUUGAAAUUGUACAAAAAUUGGUGAGGCCGAAUUUAAAGUACUACAUGCAAUUCUGGUCACUUACCUAAAGGAAAUAUUUCAAUAGACUUGAAAGAAUACAGAGCAAAUUUACAAGGAUGUUGCCUGGACUUGAGGACUUUAGCUGUAGGGAAAGGUUAAAUAGGUUGGGACUUCCGGUAAAUUGUCAGCUUGUUUGAACGCACUGGCCAACCAAAGGUCAGUUUUCCUUUUGUCUUAUGGUUUUAUGAGUGAUCUGUUUGAUGUUCGGAACUGCUGACCAGGCUAUUGAAGGAGCCGGUAGACGAGUCAGAUAAAGAGAAGCUGGUGCUUGACUGGGUGAAGGAGAGAGGGUGGUCGGCCAGGAGAAGGAGUGGUUGGUGAUGGGUUGGGAGGUGCCAGUCAGCUGGGAGAAAGAGUGGUUGGCAGGUGGAAGGUGCGGAGGAACUAACCUGAGUGCAGACCAUGCUGCUGCCAGCUAUUUGAAAACACCAGAGUUGGUGCCCACAAGCAGCGUGCAGUGUAGCUGUGACUGAUCGCAAGACCCUGUUGGACACUAACAUUGGGAGAUGUCGCAGGCCUGCUUCCCUUCUCUGGUGGAGAGAGAAAGGAGACGAGGCAGCAGUGUGGUUUUGAUUGUAGUGAGGUCAAGGCCUCAAGCGGGCUUGCAUUCUGCUGCAGACCAGGUGAGACGACACUAGUGUGGAAUCUGUGCUCAGUUGGGAGCUGGCCUGUCCUGUCAGUGCUGCCCUCCUGUGUUGGACAGGUGGAAGGACAGGCCGGAUUGUACCCUCAGUUGGCAUGUUGCUCAGAGACUUGGACUAAUCAUGUGAUUUCUUUGUAACAAAUGACGUGUGUGUGUUUUUCUUUUCUCUCUCACUAUUUUGAAUGUACGUUAUGCACCUGGGCCCCAGAGGAAUGCUGCCUUGUUCGACUGUAUCCACGUAUCCAGGAAACCUAACAAAUCUGAUACAGUUCUUCGAGGAAGUAACAAGCAGGGUGGACAAAGGAGAGACAGUGGAUGUCUUUUACUUGGAUUUUCAGAAGGCAUUUGUUGCAAGGUGCAACACACGAGGCUUCUUAACAAGAUAAAAUCCCAUGGCAUUACAGGAAAGAUACUGGCAUGGAUACUGGAAUGGCUGACAGGCAGGAGGCAUUGAGCGGGAAUAAAGGGGGCCUCUUCCAGUUGGCUGAUGGUGACUAGUGGUGUUCCUCAAGGGUCAGUAUUGGGACCGCUACUUUUCACAUUGUUUGUCAAUGAUCUGGAUAAUGGAUUUGAUGGCUGUGUGGUGGAUGAUACAAAGGAAUGUGUUAAGACUGGCAUUUGAUGCCUGUUCCCAAGGAUCUACAUCUAGUGUGGUGAAGGUGCUUUCAGUGUCAUUAGAUCGGGGUUCUAGGAUUUUGUCCAGUAACAGUGAAAGAGCAGAGCUGCAGUCCCAGUUGUGUAGGUGUGUGAUGUGGAGAGGAAGCCGUGGGAGCACUCAACAUGCUAAUAUACGAAGGUCUCCUGUCCCCCCCCCACCCCUGACCACAUCAAAUCCCUAAUAGAUGUAAAUGUAUAUGGAGAAUAAAGUUGAUCGUUCCAUCCUUUUGAGGGCGUGCAGCAUCGUCAGAAACACUGUUCGAAUGAGGUACCAAACUCAGCUUCUGUCUGGCAGAUCAAGUAAAUGUUGUGAAUCCCCGGCACAACUUGAAGCUGCAGUGGGAUUUUUCUCACCGUGCUUGCCCACAUCCUUCCUUUGUACACCCAUGCAGAAAUCAGAAAGAUACGGUGAAACCUUUUAACUUACACAACGCUUAAAAUGAACUGACCUUGGUUUGCUGUUCUAUUUUGUAGGAGGUCUGCUGGAAUUGUCUGAUUUCUCGGAUUAUGUGAGAUAUCUGUAAAAGUAAGCAGAAAUUGAAAUGGGUUCCACAACAUACAGUAUUUAUAGAGCAGUCAGAACAAACAGUCAGAGCCAAACAAAAAUAUAAGUACACAUAAAUAGCUUGUGUACAAUAGCAUCUGCAGAAGGGAAAGGGCUGUUUGAUGUAGUUUACCUCUAUGUACAAGACAUGUUAUCAAUUAUACAACAUAGAACAUUACAGCUCAGUAAGGCCCUUCGGCCCACAAUGUUAUGCUGACCUUUUAACCUGCUCCAAAAUCAAUCUAACACUUUCCUCCUACAUUGCCUUCCAUUUUUCCAUCAUCUAUGUGUCUGUCUACAAGUCUCUCAAAUGUCCCUGAUCUAUCUGUCUCUAUCAUCACCCCAGCAGGGCAUUCCACAUACUCACCAUUCUCUGUGUUAAAAACUUACCUCUGACAUCCUACCCAAUAUUUUCCACCAUUCACCUUAAAAUUAUGCCCUCAUGUUUGAGCCAUUUCUGCCCUGGGAAAAAGGCAUGGGCUGUCCACUUUAUCUUUAAUACUUAUCACUUUACCAAUGAUCUACUAUUCCAUCAAGUUUGGACCCUCUUGAACUUCUUUUUCCUCCUCAGUAGUCCCUUGGGAUUGAGGACACCUUACUUUCACUCCACUUCUAAGGUGACCAAUGAGUUCUCACUGAGACUAGCCAAGGUUGGUUUUCUAAUGAUUUUCGCUGUUCUUUGAGAUUUUUGUGCAACAACAGAGAGUAAUAGACUUAGCCAGCUCUAUUGAGGGCACUAGCCUCCCCACCAUUGAGGUUAUCUUUAAAAGGUGAUGCCUCAAAAAGGCACUGUCCAUCAUUAAAGAGAUUGACCACCCAAGAAAUGCCCUCUUCUCGUUACUGCCAUCAGGGAGGAGGUACAGGAGCCCGACAACAUACCCUCAACAUUUUAGGAACAGCUCCUUCCCCUCUGCCAUCAGAUUUCUAAAUGGACAUUGAACACUACCGCACUAUUUUUGCACUACUUUAUUUUAAUAUAUUUCUUAUUGUAAGUCACGAUAUUAUUUUAACAUACAGCACUGUACUGCUGCCAGAAAACAAAAAAAAAUUACAACAUACAUCAGAGUAGUUUUUCAUUGAUUCUAUGUAUCUUUUUGUUCUACUGUGAAUACCCACAAGAAAAUGAUUCUCAAAUUGUAUAU